rfam:Acidobacteriales bacterium 13_2_20CM_55_8 13_2_20cm_scaffold_3309, whole genome shotgun sequence.
GCUUUCAACAUCCCCGUUUCGGUCUAAAGCGAUUUGCCUCACGCGGCAUUGGCCGCGGCAAACGCCUAUCCGAAACUGAAAGC